GUGUGUGUGUGUGGGAUGUGCACAGAGACAGUGUGUGUGUGUGUGUGGGAUGUGCGCAGUGACAGUGUGUGUUUUCUAUCUUCAGGUGUGCACAUUCUCGAGUGGAUUGUUGGUUGUCAGUGGAAUGAUGAGACCGGGGACACAGGAGGGAUUGAACGUUAUGAAUACGACGGGAAACACUUCCUCACUGAUGCCAUGAAAACCUGGAAUUUCAUUCCACCUGCACAGCUGCUGUUUAUCAGUGCAGUAAAAUGGAAUCCAGCUGUGCUUGAGAAUGACAAGCAGUACCAGAUCCAGAUCUGCAUUGAGUCACUGAAGAAGUAUGUGAGCUACAAGAGCACUCUGGACAGCACAGUUGCUCCUGAGGUCUCUCUGCUGCAGAAGGACUCCUCCUCUCCUGUUGUUACCUGUCAUUUGACCGGAUUCUACCCCCGUGACAUCAUGGUAACCUGGCAGAGAAACGGAGAGGACCUGGAUGUGGACGUAGAGCUGGGGGAGAUGGUGCGCAACGAGGACGGAACUUUCCAGACCAGAUCUCACCUGAGAGUGAAGCCUGAGGACUGGAAGAGCCAGAAUUACACCUGUACUGUAAAGCACAAGAGCCUGAAACAGGAGAUCGUUCUGCCUGUCAGAGAGGUGAACAUCAAGAGGAACAGCGAUAUCAAGACCUCUCACUCUCUGAAGUACAUCUACACUGUUGUCACUGGGGAUACUGACUCCCCAGUGUUCAUCAUCACGGGUUUGGUGAAUGAUGAGCAGUUUGUGCACUAUGACAGCAACAUCAGGAGGAUGAUCCCCCAGUCUGAGUGGAGGGAAAUAUCAGUGGACAAGCAGUACUGGGACAAACAGACUCAGAAAGCGCUCUAUGCACAUCAGAUCUUGAAAGACAAUAUUGGAAUUGCAAUGUAGCAUUUCAGGUCAACUCAGGGUAAGCACAGACACACACUCAUUAAAAUAUACAUAUGGAUAUAUAUGCCUGCUCACAAAUUCACAGACUCCUUAACACAUGCAAACAGACACAUGCAUACAGUACACACACACACACACACACACACAAAAACAUGUGUAUACACACAUACUGACCCCAUAGCUUGAUGUCUGAAAGUAUAUUGUUGUAUAAGGUAAUUAGCUGUGUAAUAAAUGGGGUAAUUCCCUUCAAGGUGGUCAGAGCUUAACGCUGUAGUCUCAAUGGGAUCAGAGAUUAAUACUGUAGUCUCAGUGGGAUCAGAGAUUAAUGCUGUAGUCUCAGUGGGAUCAGAGCUUAAUGCUGUAGUAUCAGUGGAAUCAGACUAUAGUGCUGUAG